AGGGAUCAUUACCGAGUUCAUGCCCCACAGCGGGGUAGAUCUCCCACCCUUGUGUAUUUAUACCUGUGUUGCUUUGGCAGGCCGCUGGGCUGCGGUCUGGCCACCGGCUUCUUCGAAGCUGGUGCGUGCCUGCCAGAGGCCCCCCAAACUCUUGUUUGUCUAGUGUUGUCUGAGUAUCAUACCAAUCGUUAAAACUUUCAACAACGGAUCUCUUGGUUCGGGCAUCGAUGAAGAACGCAGCGAAAUGCGAUAAGUAAUGCGAAUUGCAGAAUUCAGUGAAUCAUCGAAUCUUUGAACGCACAUUGCGCCCCUUGGUAUUCCGAGGGGCAUGCCUGUUCGAGCGUCAUUUCAACCCCUCAAGCUCUGCUUGGUAUUGGGCCUCGCCAUCGCGGCGGGCCUUAAAAUCAGUGGCGGUGCCGUCUCGGCUCCAAGCGUAGUAGCAUCAUCUCGCUCUGGAGACCCGGCGGUUGCUGGCCAGAUAACCCCCAAUUUUUUCUGUGGUUGACCUCGGAUCAGGUAGGGAUACCCGCUGAACUUAA
rnacentral:rRNA from 1 species